CGGGUGCGGAACACGUACGCAACCUUCCUUUAACUGGAGAAUAGCCCCUCGAAAGAGGGAUUAAUACUCCGUAACAUAUACAUGUGGCAUCACAAGUAUAUUAUAGCUCCGGCGGUUAAAGAUGGGCGUGCGCCUGAUUAGAUAGUUGGCGGGGUAACGGCCCACCAAGUCUGCGAUCAGUAACUGGUGUGAGAGCACGACCAGUCACACGGGCACUGAGACACGGGCCCG
rnacentral:rRNA from 1 species